rnacentral:rRNA from 1 species
UCCAGACUCCUACGGGAGGCAGCAGUCGGGAAUAUUGCGCAAUGGAGGAAACUCUGACGCAGUGACGCCGCGUGCAGGAAGAAGGUUUUCGGAUUGUAAACUGCUUUAGACAGGGAAGAAAGAAAUGACGGUACCUGUAGAAUAAGCUCCGGCUAAAUACGUGCCAGCAGCCGCGGUAAUACGUAUGGAGCAAGCGUUAUCCGGAUUUACUGGGUGUAAAGGGAGCGUAGACGGCAGCACAAGUCUGGAGUGAAAUGCCGGGGCUUAACCCCGGAACUGCUUUGGAAACUGUGCAGCUAGAGUGCAGGAGAGGUAAGUGGAAUUCCUAGUGUAGCGGUGAAAUGCGUAGAUAUUAGGAGGAACACCAGUGGCGAAGGCGGCUUACUGGACUGUAACUGACGUUGAGGCUCGAAAGCGUGGGGAGCAAACAGGAUUAGAUACCCCCGUAA